rnacentral:rRNA from 1 species
UACAGAGGGUGCGAGCGUUGUCCGGAACCACUGGGCGUAAAGGGCGCGUAGGCGGUCUCUUAAGCGUGUGGUGAAAGCCCGGGGCUCAACUCCGGGUCGGCCGUGCGAACUGGGGGACUGGAGCUUGUCAGAGGCAGGCGGAAUUCCGGGUGUAGCGGUGGAAUGCGUAGAGAUCCGGAAGAACACCGGUGGCGAAGGCGGCCUGCUGGGGACAGUGCUGACGCUGAGGCGCGACAGCGUGGGGAGCAAACAGG